rnacentral:tRNA from 2 species
GGCGAAGUAGCUCAGUUGGCGAGAGCAUGCGGUUCAUACCCGCAGUGUCGGCGGUUCGAAUCCGUCCUUCGCUA